rnacentral:rRNA from 1 species
AUUGAACGCUGGCGGUAUGCUUAACACAUGCAAGUCGAACGUGAAAGAGGGGCAACCCUUGAGUAGAGUGGCGGACGGGUGAGUAAUACGUAGGAAUCUACCUUAGAGUGGGGGAUAACCCGGGGAAACUCGGGCUAAUACCGCAUUGUCUCUACGGAGUAAAGGUGGCUAGCAAUAGCUAUCGCUCUAAGAUGAGCCUACGCCGGAUUAGCUAGUUGGUAGGGUAAUGGCCUACCAAGGCAACGAUCCGUAGCUGGUCUGAGAGGACGACCAGCCACACUGGGACUGAGAUACGGCCCAGACACCUACGGGUGGCAG